GAUGAACGCUAGCGGCAGGCUUAACACAUGCAAGUCGAGGGGUAUUGGUUUUCGGACCAAGAGACCGGCGCACGGGUGCGUAACGCGUAUGCAAUCUACCUUUUGCAGAGGGAUAGCCCCAGAGAAAUUUGGAUUAAUACCUCAUAGUAUAGUACUUUGGCAUCAAGGAACUAUUAAAGUCACAACGGCAAAAGAUGAGCAUGCGUCCCAUUAGCUAGUUGGUAAGGUAACGGCUUACCAAGGCUACGAUGGGUAGGGGUUCUGAGAGGGAGAUCCCCCCANACUGGUACUGAGACACGGACCAGACUCCCUACGGGAGGCAGCAGUGAGGAAUAUUGGGACAAUGGGGCGCAAGCCUGAUCCAGCCCAUGCCGCGUGCCAGGAUGACGGUCCUAUGGAUUGUAAACUGCUUUUAUACAGGAAGAAACACUCCGACGUGUCGGAGCUUGACGGUACUGUAAGAAUAAGGAUCGGCUAACUCCGUGCCAGCAGCCG
rnacentral:rRNA from 1 species